ensembl:lncRNA
AUUAUAAUGAUAUUUCACAACUGCAGUAAAACUGCAGGUAACAGUGCAUAAUUCCAGUUUCUUUUCAUCUAAGUGAAAUACCAACAGCAGUCUAUAAAUGGCAGCAUACAUCUGAGCAUGGGCUGUUUGCUUCUUUUCUCUAUUCUCUUGAUUGGAUAUAGGAGAAAAAUUAGCUUUCCGUUCAAAAGGUAGUCAGGAGCUCCUUAAUCAGGGCCAUAUACAUAAAUGAGAUUGACAGCGAGCACAGAAAAACAGAUAAAACACUACUGAUGUUAUUGGAAAACAUCUUUACUAGUUAUACACUCACAUAUAUAAGUAAGCGAUCAAUUCAAAGAAAAUAAUAGGUUUUGGAGUAUUGCUCUGCUUUCUGUGGGGGCUAAGGACAAACAGCACUGCUCAAGAUUCUCUCCUUUUCUAUGUGUGAGCGCAUUUGUCAUCUCAUCUCUUUGCCAAACAGUUUGCCAAAGUAUGAAGUAUGAAGAGCUAACCAAAUCCCCAUGGAGAAAUGGGAGCUUAUCUGAAAAUGAUCUUGUGCUGGAAAAAAACAACAAUCACAAACACACAAAAAAACCAACAAACAAAUAAGCAACAAAAAAUACUCCCCCCAGAAAGACCAAACUGUGCAUGGGUUACUUGAAAAUUAUAACCUAAAGAGAUUACUGUCUCAUAGCCCUUCAAUUGCUUGUGUGAAAUGCAUUUAUGGUCUCAGCCCGAUUCCUAGCAGACAGGUGCCCACAUCAGUGGAAUCACCAGGUGGAGAUGACUAAAUUUUUCCUAUAAAAAAAGGUGAUUAUAGCUAACACAGUGUAAAACAUUAAUAUAAAGUACUUAUAGUUCCCACAGCAGAUGUUACAGUAACUUGGAAUCCUGCUCACUGGAGAAAAUUGUGCCCAGAUGCUUGUACUUAAACUUUAUGGCCCGAACUCUGCCCUCAGAUGUACACAAAACUCCCAGAGAUUUCAGAGCAACUAUUGUUCAUAUAUGUCAGUGCUGUGUCUGACUCCUUUCAGAGUUCACGUUGACCUUCAGACAUACUGUGGGACAAUGGAUCAAAAACCACCCAGCAUGGCUGAGGAUGACAGUGACAAUAUUCCAGCAGUUCGUAGGAGACCCAUCCAAUAUCAAGGCCAAAAUGUACCAGGCAUUUCUCAAACAUAUAUCAAACGCCAGAUCGCUGUAUAAGCAGAAAAAAUAAGAAAGAAAGAAAAGGUUGGGAACAAGUUCAGAGUGUGAAAUGAAUUGCACAAGACCACAGAGUAGCUGGAUGGCAAAAGCGUGAUUAAUGCAACCGUACACCGGUGAAAAGUGUAUCAACUUCUGUAGCUAUUCAAAUAUCCUUAAAGAUGAGAACGGAGCAUAGUCAAAACAAGCAGAAAUGCAUGCUCUUAUUAGAAUUUCAUCAAAAUCACUGUGCUUUUAUUGCCUUUUUGAAUUUCUAAUCAGUCCUUGCAGCGAACUGUCACUGUAGAGCACAGUAGCUCUCAGUACUUGAUCAACCUACAGACAGAAGCACUUUGGAGAGACAGACAGUAGCUGGUGCAUAGCAAGAAAUGACAUCUAAGGCAUCCAUGAGAAAUGAAGCAGAGAAAGGCAGGGGCUAACAGGUAGAGGUGGUUGGGUCUAGGCACAUAACCUGUUGAUUCAGGGAAAAGCUGAAGUUAAAGGGCUGGAUGGGAGAAAAGAACUUGCCUCCUUAGGAUAUGAUGGGUUUCAGGUCAUGAAUGAAGAUGAAGACGUUGAACAAGACCAGAUCCCAUACCAACCCCUGAGGAAGACCACUAGUUACAGGCCUCCAACCAGACUGCCACACUGAUGACAACCCUCUGAGCUCUACCAGCCAAACAGUUCUCAUUCCACCUCACGGUUCUCUCUGGGUAACUGCUGAAGGUCCCUUAUGUACAGAAGCAAAAUUAAACAGUAGCAAUGAGUUCAACUCUUCUUUUACUAGUUCACCAAAGAUAAAAAUUUAUAUUCCCUGUAUACAGAAAAAUCUAAUGCUGAAUUACCUUUAUCUCCAUAAAGCAGAUGUAUUUAUUUCUAAUUUCUAAUACAAAAUUCUUCUACCUGAGAUCACAGAGCGUAUAGCUUUUGACUGUGUUCGAUCAGAUUGAUUGUUCAACUUAUUAUUGCUUAUUUCAACUUCUGAAUCUUAAAUGUUUUCUGAUCAUCUUACUCGGUAUAUUUCAAUAAUGGAGAAAUCUGUAAUUUGGAUUUGUUUUCUACUAUGCUAUCUAUACUGUGAUCUUAAUUUAUUUCUAAUAUUAUCUUAUACUAUUUACGUAAUAUGACCUAUGCAAUUAUUUAAGGUUAAAAGAUCUACAGACGAAGUGAAUAGACAUUUAGAAAGUUUUCAGCUGUUCCACUCUUCGACAUCAACAUCCCUAUUCAUUGCAGAUGAAUGCUGUUCAUUGCAGGGGAGCUGGACUAGAUGACCUGUAAGGGUCCUUUCCAUUUCAAAUGAUUCGGUGAUUCUAUGAUCAAGAAUUUAGGCAACAAGCAAAGUAUUCAGAGUAUAUUUGUAUGGAAGAAAAGGAGUUAAUGCCAUUCAUUGUGAAAAACAAUACAGCUUUCUUUCUGGCUUGCUGGUUGCAGACAUCCUUUUGGCUUCUUAUAGAUUGAUGUGACACCGGAGCAAGUGGGAGCAGUUGUAUUGGUCGUUCUCACCAAACUGAGUUAGCAGCAUCUAUCUCCAGCGCAUGGAGGAAGACUGGAGGUUUCCUAUGGAGGACUUCAGAAGGCUGGGAAAUGCUGGCUGCACACUUCCACUCAGUGCUGAAUGCCCUGAGCCCUGCAGGGUAUCAGAAAUGGCAGUUGCACAAUUCAGAAAGCAUUGCAGACAGCACGAGGCAGCUCUGCGCUAGGCAUGAAGUUAGUGCCGGAAUUUCCCAGUACUUGUGGUUCAGUUCAAGUGUUUGUGACUUGAUUAUAGCAGCUUUGUAUAAACAUAAUAAAAUCCCAACCAUCUGUGUGAGGCUGUACAGUGCCUAUAUGCAAACACAGCCUCACGCACGCCGAAAUGCUCACAUACACAUGCAUGUCUUCAUGUUUGCAUGUGUGUGCGUGUGCACAGAUCCUUUGUGAUUUAAGAGGAUCGAUUUCAUGAAGCUGAAAGUGAUUAUGAAGUAAAUCAGCUGGGAGGAAAAAAAAAUAUCAGAAAAAUGUGAAUGGAAAUUAAAAGCUGUUUACUUCUAACCCCAGACAGCAUAAUCCCACAACUGAACAAAAUGGGAAGCUGUUUAAAAGAACCAAAAUGCUUAGCAAUGAAGGCAUCAGUAACAAUAGCUAGAUCUGUAACAGGUUUAGUAAGAAAACUAUUAAUAAUGAUUUAUAUUGAUAUAUAUUUUUUAUGUUGGAACCUGGAGAAAACUGACACCAUGAAGAAGAAAUAUCUGGUGAGGCAGGGCCCAAAGAAGUAGUGGGUACCCCAUCCCUGGAGGCACUUAAGGUCAGGCUGGACGGGGCUCUGAACACUGAUGGAGCUGUAGGUGUCCCUGUUUAUUGCAGGGGAGUUGGACUAGAUGGCGUUUGAGGGGCCCUUCCAACUCGAAUGAUUAUGUGACUCUAUGACACUAUGAAGUCCAAGAAAACAAAUAAAAUGGAGAUAUUGACCCAUUGUUAGGAAAGUAAAUAGCAAUGUAAAAGGAAACAAACAAACAAAAAAGAUGUGUUUAAUAAAUAACUUUGUUCUGAAUUUUAAAAAGCUAGAUAAUACAUUUACAUCAGUGGUCACUAGCAGCGUUCCCCAGGGCUCAAUUCUAGGGCCAGUCCUGUUCAACCUUUUUAUCAGUGAUUAGAUGCAGAGUUGAAUGCAUCUUCAUUUGUUGUUCAGAAAUGCUCAGAUCCCAGCAUUACGGCAGCAAUAGAAGCGCAUUGUGUUAUUAUCUAUGGCCAUGCUUAUACGUUGCUUCUUUGUGACAAACUUGUGUGCAUUGCCUGGGCCUUGCAGGCAGCUAAAAUGCAGCAUCAUGGGAAGGUAAAAGCUUCUUGAAACCCAGUGAUUCUUCCAGCUGAGAAGAAAACUGACCUGCUUGCAAAGGAUCUGUUUUUUUUCCUAUAAAUACCCAGAUGCUUUUGACAAACACCUCUUAGUACAAUGGAAGAAUUGGAGCCUGCAUGAUUAUUUCCAAGACACCAGUAAAAGGAUAUGAAGAAUACUUAAAAAUGUGAAUUGUGACAAAAACAGAAUUAUGUAAACCUUGACACUCCAUUUCCACUUGCUGCCUUUUGACUGUGAAACAUCAGCUUGUAAGUGCUUGGUGCAAAAUGAGAAAGAAUAUUGUUUUCAGCAAGCUGCACUUUUUACAAAUUGCAUAAUACAACAAAAUGUACUGUAGAAGAAAUAUCCUGAGCCUAAAAAAGAGAGACAAUACCAUUAUUCAUUCUUCCUCAUUUUCCAAGAAAUUUACAAAGUUACAAAAUCAGGGGAAAUGUGUCGUCAAUGUCAUUUCACAGAAAUACAGAAAUACCAUGUCCCCAUUUGUAGAUAAUGCACAGUCUGGUAUAUUCUCUGCAAAGAAGGAAACUUCUAAGUUAAUUUCAAGCUGUUAGAAGUUCUUCCUUUGUGCAUCAAUUGGUUAUUAGACUAACACUAUAUGUCAGGAAGGAUGGAAGUAAGCACUUAUGAGAGAAUGAAUGGUUCAGUUCAUUGAAAUGGGCUUUCUCCUUUGUUUCCCUUAAAAUAAGGUGCUUCUCAUUUGCUCAGAACAACUUGUUGAGGACAAAGUAUAUGUGUGCUAGUGACAAAAUAAUUCCAAACAACUGGAUGUGACAAUUCUAUAGCUGUCCAGAAAAUUGUUUCCCGUAAAAUCUGGGACAUUUCCUCAACAUCUUCUACUCAGAAAAAGUAUUUCACCACAAGAAAUAAACAGCGUAAGCAUCCAGCUCCCUCAGAAGACCCUGAGCGAGCAGCCACUAAAUGAAAACAAAACGCAAAUACUUCUCAUGACAACCAGAAUCACAGAAUCCUCGUAUCACAGAAAUGUAGAAUGGUUUGAGUUGGAAGGGACCUUAACCCUCUAGACCAGGUUGCUCACAGACCCAUCCAGCCUGGCCUUGAAUGCUUCCAGGGAGGGGGCAUCCACAACCUCACUGGGCAACCUGUUCCAGUGUCUCACCACCCUCACAGUAAAGAAUUUCUUCCUUAUAUCUAGUCUAAAUCUGCCCUCUUCCAGUUUAAAGCCAUUUCUCCUGUCACUUCCUGCCCUUCUAAAAAGUCCCUCCCCAGCUUUCCUGUAGAUCCCCUUCAGGUACUGGAAGGCCACUGUAAGGUCUCCUCAGAGCCUUCUGUUCUCCAGGCUGAAGAGCCCCAGCUCUCUCAGCCUGUAUUUGUAGGAGAGGUGGUCCAGCCCUCUGAUCAUCUUUGUGGCCCUCCUCUGAACCUGCUCCAACAGAUCCAUGUCCUUCCUGUGCUGGGGGGCCCAGACUAGAUGCAAAUGUAUAUGCCUUGUUAUAUAACGGAAUAUGCCUUGUUUUAAGGGGGGGGAAUUGUCAGAGUAGAUUCUCUGGUGCCUAGCAGGGUCCCUGAGCAGGCACAGCAGCUUUUCUGACAAUUGGACAGUUAACAUGCUGUCUUUUCUUAAUCCAGUAGUGCAUUUCCCAGAUCUUUUAGUACCACAAUAUGUAUGAAUUGUCUGUACUGCCAACAAACGUGGUUAAAUUUGGUGAAUGGGGCUAAGUAUAUUGGUAAGCUGGGAUAUAUGACAAAAUAACAUGUCUGCAGGCCAAAUAAAACUUUCUCUAGACACACAUCCCCUCUUCCAUGCAAGAUCUUGACCCCUUAAAGUGAGAAAUAUCAGAAUUUCCUUGAAAUUCAUCAGAGUUUUCCUGUGUUCGACUCUGAGGUAUUCCAAUACUCCAGUGUCAGUACUUUUUACAAGUUCUCUUGGGUGUGUUCACUCAGUCCUGUGAUCAUUUUUUGACCGCAGCAUGGAAGUGGCUUACAACAAACUGUAAGAUUGCAUGUGAUGAAGUUGUACCUGCAGGUCUCUUUAUUUGCAUUUGCAGAAGCAUGGUCUCAUCUUCUCUUGGCUUCCUUGGCACUGGCAGAGGACCAGAAGGGAAAACCCCUUCUCAGCUGCAGCUGAGCUCUGUGGCCCCCUGCCCACACUCUGUCUCCAGGUUGUGCUUGAAAGUCCUCUGCAGAUCACAGAGCAGAGCAAGCAGUCUGGCAUGAACAGCCUUUAAAAGGAAGGAAGAACUAGAAUCACAUUCAACGUAGGCUUUUAUGACCAAACAAAACUUUUUGUUGAUUUUCAAAUGCAUUUGUUACUUGUUAGCACUCCAUUUACCCAAUAGCAUUGUGAAGAUCAAAAAAACCCAUAAAUGCUAUAAUUUGUGGAUCCUGUAUUUUCACUGUACUGAUGAAGUUUCAGUUCCCAGAUGAAUCACAGCCAUCAGUUAAAGUAGCCUUUAAAAUGUGAAUUUGCAUUUAACAAAUACGAAAAAACAUAGCAGAGAAUGACUUUCUUUUUGUCUCCUUCAUUUUUUUAAGCUCAGGAAAUAUCAUGGAUUCCUAUUUUUUUCUUUGUAUUUUUUUUUUCUCAAGGUUACUGUUAUAUUUUCAUUCAUAAAUCAGUUCCAGCUCUCAGGCUGAGAUUAAUGCAGUCAGAGCUGUGAGUCACCCCUGCUACUUGCACCUCCACCUGCACACAGAGGGGCUCUUCUGCAGCAAGACCAAAAAGUGAGCAGGCUUUGCUUCAGUGUAAGCCUGUUGAUGAAUGACAUCUUGUUCUUUAGUACCAACAAAGUAAUUUAUUGUCAGCUUUUCUAUCAGAAAUUUCAUCAAAGAUCAUGAAGUUGAAAUCACCUUCUACUCACAGUUGGAAGUUGUUUUUUUCUUAUCUUUGGCUAUAGACUUUUAUCUUACAUACUACAUAUUACCCAUCGAGAUUUCUUCUGAGUUAUCAUGACUGAAGAACUGGAAAACCACACUUAAGCUUUCAUAUUCUCACUUUCUAAUUUCUUUACUAAAUAUCCUAUGCAUUACAUCAAAAUGGUCUAUUUUAUUUUCACAAACUUGAACAACACUGGCAUUUUAAAAAUGUGCUGGAGGUGAUCUAUUCUGAAGAUGGUUUCAAAAUUAAAACAAUUCUGGAACCUUCUUUCUGUAUGAAAUAGUGUUUUUUUUUUUUUCCAUUGCCUAAUACUCAUGUGAAUACUAGACUGAUAUUCAUAAACUGAAUAGAUAUUUUAAUGAGUAGAACAUAGAUGUGAAGUAGUCCAAAAUUUUUAUUAAAAAAAAUCAUAUUUAUUGUUGUGCUGUUUCAAGUCUUAAUAGCAGCUAACUCUUCUGAACAUUUCCCUCAACAAAUAAGAAAAUAAAAAGAGACUUCUCAUCUGUUACAAAAUAUAAGGAUUCGUACUGUAAUUACAGGUCUUGCAUAACGUUGUGUGCCAGUUGUCAGACUGAGCUUAGCACUUUUAAUGGAUGAGGUUGAAGAAGUUAAGCAAACAUUUUGCAAAACAAGUCAAAGAUCUUCUUAGCUGAGCCUUGAUGAUGGUUAAAGUCUGGUCCUUUGGGACACCAGGAGCUGGUUAUAAGCAUUCAGUGUAGAUGUUUUUGAGUAAUUUCCUUUUUGACUUUCAUAAAUCAUGCAGUACUUUAAUUAUGAAUACAUUACCAGCAGACCGUAGCCUAAGAAGGAUUAUGGAUUUUCAUUUGUUCAUAAGAUUAGCCCAUGUUUUUCUAGUUUGCUUAAGAUCUUUUGAAAUUCUUUUGCCUUAUCUCUAAACUAUAAUAGUGAUUGCACUUCAGACUGCUUAAUUGUUGCUCUUUAUCUAAUAGAUGUAGUAAUAUUAUUUGGUAUAAAACAUGCUUUUGUUAAACACUGAGUUCAUUUUCUGACUAAAUGAAAUAAGAAAAAAGAAAAAAGACAAACGCUGGACUUUUCUCAGCUAAGCCUCAAUUUUUUCCAAGGUCAGAAAGUAGUUGUAAAAUGCAUUAAUUCUGAUAUUUUUUACAGUGAUAUUUCCAUCCAAAAGACAAUUUGUCUGCAAGUUCUGGGAAUGUUCUUGUCAGUCUAGUUUGAAAUAGGUAAUUUAGUUCAAACUGAUAAAGUAAAUGACAUGACGUCAAUUCAGUUAAUCAAGUCAUUCCAGAUAUGAUGAAUCUAGCUCAUAUAGUUGGGGAGCAUCAAAAACAAAGAUUUCAUUUUUAAGUCUUUAAAAUACAGGAGAGUGGAAUAAUCUCUUCAAAACAGGCAUGAUGCAAGGAACAAGAAGUACAAGAAGGUUUAACUUGAAGUGAGGGACUUUUUUUUUUUUUUUUGUAAUAUAUUAGGAAGAAAAGCCACAGUGAAAGAAACAAAUUGUCAGGAGAGGUUACAGAGUCUAUGUCACUGGGGAAUUUUAAAACCAGAUAUACAAGUGUCUGUCAUGGUGAAUAUACAGACCUUGUGUGGGCAUGCAGGUAUACUAAAUAUUUUGCAACUGCUGUUCUGUAAUUUUUUGUACUUUUCUUGAGCCAGUCUCACAUAAACAGCAGGAUAUUUACUUGUGCUCUAUGGAGAAAAGUAUGCAUUGAAAGAUGUAUAUAAUCCUUCUGAAGUGAUGUAGAAAAGAAGAAAUGAGAACUAGCAGGAACUUACAGUGUAUACAACAUAUAUUGCUUGUAUUGCUAAAUAUACAACUAGUGAAUGUUUAGGAUUUAGUGAUGAAAAGGGUAUAAAAAUUAGAGGCACUCACCCAGGCCAGCAUGGUAAGGAAGGGAGGCAUUCUUGACUGCUCCUUCUAAGACCAUGGUAGAGAGUAAUUCAUCUGCAAAAGCUGGUCCAGAGGAAGGUAGGUGAUAGGCCCUUUUCCAGCACAAGACUCACCAAAUAGCGGCAAGGAAAUGAAAUCUUCUGUUUCAAGACAGGAUAUAUAAUAAUGCAUUUGGAUGGAAAUGUCCUCAAUAGGGGUGGUCUUUAUGGAAUGGGGAAGAGAAUUUGGAGUAGCCCUUUGUAGACUCCAGCAGCCAUCUGUCAUGAGAUAAUAUUUGGAGUUUUAAGAUGAUUAGGCUAGCUGUAAGCAUGCCUUAGCUCAGUUUGUUUUGCUGUUGUUUAUAUUUGCUUUGCUUGUAUAUUUUAUGACUUGGCUAAGUAAACAGUAAAAUCUGCCUUUACUCUUAAUUUUUAAUUUUCAGUCAUAAAUAAUAUUUUGAACAUAUUUUGGGAUCCUGCUGGGCUACAAAUUAGACUUCUCUUUCGCAUCAGCAGUAAUGCCAUCUACUUUCUGUCUCACAAAUCCAGCGGUACUUGGAGGUCAUCCACUCCAAUACGGACUAUUUUUGGUUCCUAUCUUCUUGAAACUGGUGAAGAC